GUAGGGAAUAUUGGGCAAUGGAUGCAAGUCUGACCCAGCCAUCCCGCGUGCCGGAAGAAGGCCCUCAGGGUUGUAAACGGCUUUUGAUGGUGAAGAACCGACAGGAUGCGUCCUGUUUUGACGGUAGCCGUUGAAUAAGCACCGGCUAACUCCGUGCCAGCAGCCGCGGUAAUACGGAGGGUGCGAGCGUUGUCCGGAUUUAUUGGGUUUAAAGGGUGCGUAGGCUGGAAGGUCAGUCAGCGGUGAAAAGCUAUCGCUUAACGAUAGUCUUGCCGCAGAUACUUCCUUUCUUGGAUGAGGAGGAGGCCACUGGAACGGAUGGUGUAGCGGUGAAAUGCAUAGAUAUCAUCCAGAACACCGAUUGCGAAGGCAGGUGGCUGUACCUUAAUCGACGCUGAUGCACGAAAGCAUGGGGAGCAAACAGGAUUAGAAACCCGAGUAGUCC
rnacentral:rRNA from 1 species